rnacentral:lncRNA from 1 species
GUAUUAUUUGCCCUGGGUGCACAGAGAAAUGCAAUAGAUGCCAGAUUUAUUAUGCCUUACGGAGCAUUCUGUGAUUUUUUUCCUCAUUGCAGUUCACGUGAAGAAGUUUGUUUAUAUUGCAGAACUUCAAAGCGUUUGAAUGCAAUUUUGCUUUUCCUUUUAAGGCUGUGGAAGGGAGAGGUCCCGUUUCCUGCAGCACUUGCUUGGCUCAGCACUGAGUGUGUGCUGAGAUCCGGUGCUGCACACUGGGCACAGGGAGAGCUCUUUUUUGGUUGACUCUUCUGGACUGUCUUCCCGAGGCAGAAGCUGGAAACCAC